GAUGAACGCUGGCGGCGUGCCUAAGACAUGCAAGUCGAGCGGGUUUAGACCCGCGGCAAACGGGUGAGUAAUACCUAGGAAUGUACCUCUAGUCGAGCAUAACCCACCGAAAGGUGGAGCAAUUCUCGAUGUGACCGCAAGGUUAAAGCAUUUAUGCGCUAGAGAAGCGGCCUAGGCACCAUCAGCUAGUUGGUAAGGUAAAAGCUUACCAAGGCUAUGACGGUUAGGGGCCUCGAGAGGGGAAACCUCCACACUGGGACUGAGACACGGCCCAG
rnacentral:rRNA from 1 species